rnacentral:lncRNA from 1 species
GAUCCCGGCGCGAGCGGAAGGGGCGGCCCCGGGGCGGGGCUUGGCGCGGGCCCGGCUCGCGACGCGCAUUCGCGGCCUCGGGACAGAAUGAGUCAGACCAGCCCGGUUCGGCUUCUUCCCACUGUGCCAGGGCCAGCCGUUACCCUUGCGAGCCUCGGCUUCCUCUCCGGUGCCAACGGGGGAUGAGCACCGCACCCCAACAAGGAGGGAGACAUCAUCACCUCUUCAGGACGUUGUCCAAACCCUUGGGCAUCCUCUUAGGAAGCCACAGUCCCAACCCAGCCUCGCAGGGCUUGGGCUGUGCCUGCCUCAGUCCUCUGCAAGGCCCGCUCCUCAGUCCAACUCCUUCCUGCCGGACCGACUGCACUGACCUCGCUCCUUUCCAGCCGGCCUCCCGUGUUCAGGUAGAACUUCAGCUUGGGAGUACUUGGCUCUUUUCUGGGGGAAGACUUUGA